UGCAGCCUUGUCAAAUUCAGUGUUUCCUCUUCAGUGGACCGCACUGGCCAAAACGGCUGCAACAGUAAAUGCGUAGUUCAUGGGCCCCACAUUCUUACAAAGUGGAUACUGGGGAUAGAAAGACCUAUGUACAUGC